AUUAACUUAAAUAUAUUAAAUAUAUUAAAUUACUUAAAUAUAUUAAAUAUAUUAAAUUUAAUAUAUUUAAGUUAAUA
rnacentral:tRNA from 1 species